rnacentral:rRNA from 1 species
CCGACGGUGAGGGGUGAAAGCUGGGGGCACGAACCGGAUUAGAUACCCGGGUAGUCCCAGCCGUAAACGAUGCUCGCUAGGUGUCUGGGAUGGUGCGACCGUUUCAGGUGCCGCAGGGAAGCCGUGAAGCGAGCCACCUGGGAAGUACGGCCGCAAGGCUGAAACUUAAAGGAAUUGGCGGGGGAGCACUACAACGGGUGGAGCCUGCGGUUUAAUUGGACUCAACGCCGGAAAACUCACCAGAUAA